UACGAAGGGUGCAAGCGUUAAUCGGAAUUACUGGGCGUAAAGCGUGCGUAGGCGGUUAUUUAAGUCUGUUGUGAAAUCCCCGGGCUCAACCUGGGAAUGGCAAUGGAUACUGGAUAGCUAGAGUGUGAUAGAGGAUGGUGGAAUUCCCGGUGUAGCGGUGAAAUGCGUAGAGAUCGGAAAGAACACCAACGGCGAAAGCACUCUGCUGGGCCGACACUGACACUGAGAGACGAAAGCUAGGGGAGCGAAUGGG
rnacentral:rRNA from 1 species